GACGAACGCUGGCGGCGUGCCUAAUACAUGCAAGUAGAACGCACAGUUUAUACCGUAGCUUGCUACACCAUAGACUGUGAGUUGCGAACGGGUGAGUAACGCGUAGGUAACCUGCCUGGUAGCGGGGGAUAACUAUUGGAAACGAUAGCUAAUACCGCAUAAUAUUAAUUAUUGCAUGAUAAUUAAUUGAAAGGUGCAAUUGCACCACUACCAGGUGGACCUGCGUUGUAUUAGCUAGUAGGUGAGGUAACGGCUCACCUAGGCGACGAUACAUAGCCGACCUGAGAGGGUGAUCGGCCACACUGGGACUGAGACACGGCCCAGACUCCUACGGGAGGCAGCAGUAGGGAAUCUUCGGCAAUGGACGAAAGUCUGACCGAGCAACGCCGCGUGAGUGAAGAAGGUUUUCGGAUCGUAAAGCUCUGUUGUAAGAGAAGAACGGGUGUGAGAGUGGAAAGUUCGCACUGUGACGGUAUCUUACCAGAAAGGGACGGCUAACUACGUG
rnacentral:rRNA from 1 species